AUGAACGCUGACAGAAUGCUUAACCCAUGCAAGUCUUUGGCGAAGCUGUGCUUGCACAGCCUAGCCAAGGCGGACGGGUGAGUAACGCGUAAGGAACUUGCCCUGCAGUCAGGGAUAACAGACGGAAACGACUGAUAAGACCUGGUAAAGUCAGGCGGACUCAUGUCCAGCCUGAUGAAAAGAGAUGCUGCAGGAGAGCCUUGCGUCCUAUUAGCUUGUUGGUGGGGUAACGGCCCACCAAGGCGAUGAUAGGUAGCCGGCCUGAGAGGGUGGACGGCCACAAGGGGACUGAGAUACGGCCCUUACUCCUACGGGAGGCAGCAGUGGGGAAUAUUGGACAAUGGGGGCAACCCUGAUCCAGCAAUUCUGUGUGCACGAUGAAGGUUUUCGGAUUGUAAAGUGCUUUCAGCAGGGAAGAAAAAAAUGACGGUACCUUCAGAAGAAGCGACGGCUAAAUACGUG
rnacentral:rRNA from 1 species